rnacentral:rRNA from 1 species
GUGGGGAAUCUUGCGCAAUGGGGGAAACCCUGACGCAGCAACGCCGCGUGGGUGAUGAAGGCCUUCGGGUCGUAAAGCCCUGUCAGGUGGAAAGAACAGUGGCGACGUAAAUAACUUCGCCAUUUGACGGUACCACCAGAGGAAGCACCGGCUAACUCCGUGCCAGCAGCCGCGGUAAUACGGAGGGUGCAAGCGUUGUUCGGAAUUAUUGGGCGUAAAGCGCGUGUAGGCGGUCGGGUAAGUCAGGUGUGAAAGCCUUUCGCUUAACGGAAGAAGUGCAUUUGAAACUGCUCGGCUUGAGUACGGGAGAGGAGAGUGGAAUUCCCGGUGUAGAGGUGAAAUUCGUAGAUAUCGGGAGGAACACCGGUGGCGAAGGCGGCUCUCUGGUCCGAUACUGACGCUGAGACGCGAAAGCGUGGGGAGCAAACAGGAUUAGAUACCCUAGUAGUCC